rnacentral:sRNA from 1 species
AGACGCGACUGGUGGGUGGCACGGCCACCUGUAUGCUUCUUGGACAGUGCGAGGGGUGGGGGGACUUGGAGACAGAAGCUGGAAAAUGGGCUGCCCCAACAGCAAACUGUGCCUCUAUUCUCCAUGUGCAGCAACAAGGCGGGAGGAAGCGCUGAAACAACACAAAACCCUAUCUCAAGAACUUGUUAACCUCCGGGGAGAGCUAGUCACUGCUUCAACCACCUGUGAGAAAUUAGAAGAAGCCAGGAAUGAGUUACAAACAGCGUAUGAAGCAUUUGUCCAGCAGCACCAGGCUGAAAAAACAGAACGAGAGAAUCGGCUUAAAGAAUUUUACACCAGGGAGUAUGAAAAGCUUCGGGACACUUACAUUGAAGAAGCAGAGAAGUACAAAAUGCAAUUGCAAGAGCAGUUUGACAACUUAAAUGCUGCCCAUGAAACGUCUAAGUUGGAAAUUGAAGCUAGCCACUCGGAAAAAGUUGAAUUGCUAAAGAAGGCCUAUGAAGCCUCCCUUUCAGGCAAGGAUGCUUUUUUUCCUCUUUAAACAAUAAAAUCUGAAGGAACCACAUGAUAUGUUUUAAGAUGGAAAUGAUUCAUAACUUUCUGCUUCAGCGAAUGCCCUGUGGCCGUCAGGCUGGGGUGUUCUUGGUUCCUUUUUGCAUUGUUUAUUGUUAACAGAUGCCUUUUCCCACUAAGGAUGCAAAUAAUAGUUACAAAUGCCAGCCUUCUGUUGAAUAGGAUGGGCUUUGGAAGAUUGUAAAGGCCAUUUUGGGGGCGGUGGUUGCCAGCUUAGGUUCCUGGGAAGUGGAAAGUACAAGUUUCUAUCUUGUAAUCCACAGUAAAGGAUCCACCCCAAGUGCUCCUGCACAGCAGCGGUGCUGUGAAAUGUCAAUGCCACUUACUGAAUAGAAAAACAGUCUUUUCUAUUUUUCAUCUGUCAUCAGUGGGAGGGUGUAAGCCAUUGCUUUCAGAACAGAAUCGGCAGUGUCGCUCAGUCUUUCUACUAAACCAGUUGCAUUUUACAGAGCAGCAUGGUUGAGUGCUAAGAACCGGCUGUGUGACCUUUAGCAAGGACUUUCUCACCAGAAAAAUAGAGUUGCCCAAAGUCAGGCAGAGAUGAUAACGUGUAAAAGUGACUGGCCCCAGGCAGACUUUUAGUAAACAUUGGUUUUCUUCCUUCCUGCUAGAAAUGAGUAUAAUUUUAGACUUAUGUUUAGGUCAUGAAGAGCAAAUUGAAAAGAGCACAGGGUUUCCAGACCAGGAGUCUGGAGUGGCAUUUAUGAGAGCCUGCCCUGAAAUGGCACUCAGUGUUGUCCUAAGGUCGCAUGGCCUCUGUGGGCCUUGGUGGGCCUCAGGGCUCUCAGUCAUAAAAUGGGAAUGUCUACCCUAACCACCUCUCAAGGCCAUUUUGAGAACAGAUGGCCAAUUUACAUAAAAGCAUACUAUAGAUAUAAAGUAACGUCAUAUGGCUUCAUCAUCAACCCCUACAUCUAUAUGCUUUACUGUUUUAGAGUACAUUGAUCUCAUAGAAUGUUAUUGCCUCAAAAAUUUCCUUUUAUUUUCCCAGAAAUUAAGAAAGGCCAUGAAAUAGAAAAGAAAUCGCUUGAAGAUUUACUUUCUGAGAAGCAGGAAUCGCUAGAGAAGCAAAUCAACGAUCUGAAGAGUGAAAAUGAUGCUUUAAAUGAAAAAUUGAAAUCAGAAGAACAAAAAAGAAGAGCAAGAGAGAAAGCAAAUUUGAAAAAUCCUCAGAUCAUGUAUCUGGAACAGGAGUUAGAAAGCCUGAAAGCUGUGUUAGAGAUCAAGAAUGAGAAACUGCAUCAACAGGACAUCAAGUUAAUGAAAAUGGAGAAACUGGUGGACAACAACACAGCAUUGGUUGACAAAUUGAAGCGAUUCCAGCAGGAGAAUGAAGAAUUAAAAGCUCGGAUGGAUAAGCACAUGGCAAUUUCAAGGCAACUUUCCACAGAGCAGGCCGUUCUGCAAGAGUCGCUGGAGAAGGAGUCGAAAGUCAACAAGCGACUCUCUAUGGAAAACGAGGAGCUUCUGUGGAAGCUGCACAAUGGGGACCUGUGUAGCCCCAAGAGAUCCCCCACGUCCUCCGCCAUCCCUUUCCAGUCACCAAGGAAUUCGGGCUCCUUCCCCAGCCCCAGCAUUUCACCCAGAUGACACCUCCCCCAAAGUCCACAGACUCUCGGAAAGCAUUUUGAUACAGGUCUGCAGGACUGACCCCAAGGAGGAAUAUGGGCACAGAGGUAUAUCAGCACACGUGUGAUCACCGUAGGAUAACUGGAGCGUCACCACCGCCGGAAUCUCAGCUUCUGAGACUGGAACUCUGGAGGAAGACUUUUGCCUCCGUCCAAAAGAUUCCUCCAAAAAAAGAUGUCGGCAUCGACACGGACGUUGUUGCACAAAGCACUUAAAGAACGAGAGCAUCUUGUUCAUCGCCUUUUUCACCUAAGCAUAGGGGGAAAAACUCUCAGGGCCCUAUUAAGAUAAAGAUUUAUAACCUUUGUAAUGUUCUUCACCACAGACACCUUCUUGUGAGUUUUCAGUCUGACCGUGGGGGUGGGGGGGUGUGAAUGAAAUGGAUGUCACAGAGUGUCAUGUGUCUGAUGCAGCCUCCUUUGCUGUGUAUUAAAUGUCAAAAUCUGAAUAUAUCUGGAUAUGUACUAAUCAAAUAAUAAUCAGCGUAUACAUUUCAGCCAAAGCCAUAGAAGGAAAAGCAAUAGUUGCUUGAAUUAUGAUCAUCUACCACCAACUCUGCUCAGCCCUGUAACAGGGUAGGGAGAGGGUAUAACAGGAAAAGCUUUGACUUGUCCCUGUGUAUACAUUCUCUGUAUCUUUUGGGGUUAACUUCUUGGCAGUUUUUCAGUGUUCAGCCAUGUCAGUUGAAACUAGAUUUUUCACUUACCCAUGUGAGCCUAACACUAUCCUAUAAUUUGUUUUCUCAGGCUAUGUGUAAAUGUAGAGCCCUAAUUUUUGUAUAAAAAAACAAACUGUAUAAAGAAAAAGGGCAGUACCAAUGGAUUUUUCCGCCUUAUUUUUACCUUUGAUCUAUCCUUGCAGAUUUAACCUGUCUUCUUCUCUCCCAUUAUUCUCAUUUUCCUUUUACCUUUCUCCACCAUCCAGAACCACAAAAGCAAACCUUCUACCUCCUACCUACUUUUCUCUGGGACAAGGAUAAAGGAAUAUGAUUUUCCAGAGCCCCAGAGCCAGCUCAUCUUCCAGGUGCUGAAACCACUUUCCAAAUAAAGUAAAGCCUGGAUUUGAUAUUACACAUUUUGGGAAAUCUUAGAAUAAAGAACGAGAAAAAGGAAGUCAUUGGCUAAUAUAAUUAAGAAAGGUAGGAUUCAGUGCGUACCAAUGAUGCAGUAUUUGAUUGAUAGAGGAAAACAGUCUGGGAGGAUCGUGCUCAUUUUUCAGGUACCCUUUGAGGAGUCCCUCUGUCUUUGGGAAAGUAGCAGAAUGGCCCGCUUCUUUCCCAUGAGUGGAAAAUGUGGCUCGUCCAACUCUCCUCCAAGUUGCAUUUCAGUUUCUUUCCAAAACUUAUUACCUCUCCUAAUCCUGAGACUUUGGAAAAGGUGGAAGGAAGAACUGUUGCUUUAUCUCCCCCUCCCCGCAUGUGUCAACAUUGCGAUGUCAGUAUUUACUCAUCUACAUUCAGUGGCUGUACAAAUACUGCCGUAGUAAGAAGAGAUUCAGGAUGCUAGAGGUGAAUAUUUGGGUCAUUUACAUGUACACUACAUAGCAAGUUGAUACUCAUGUUGCAUGUUCUUUUAAAUUAGUGAUUUUGUGUCUUAAGUCUUUAACUUCCAAUAGUUUAUCAUGUAUGUAACCUUCCAUGUUUGCUUCUGAUAAAUGGAAAUGUAGAUUCACUGCCACUUCGUGGGAUAUCUCUGCUCACGCUUCCAAGUUGUUCUCAAUGACAUUAGCCAAAGUUGGGUUUGCCAUUCAUCCCCUCGGCAUGGUAAAUCUUGUGUUGUUCCCUGCCGUCCUCCGUAUUACGUGACUGGGAAAUAAAUCUCAUAGCAGUUAAUAUAAAACAUCUUCGGAGGAUGGGAGAGAACAGGAGAGAAGAUGGGAAACAAAAUAGAGAAUUUUUAAGAUUUUGUUUAAACCAAAUGUUUCAUGUAGAAUGCAAAAUGUUGGCACGUCAAAAAUAUGAAUGUGUAGACAACUGUAGUUGUGCUCAGUUUGUAGUGAUAGGAAGUGUAUUUUACUUUGAUCAAAUAAAUAAUGCUGGAAUACUCAAGAA